rnacentral:rRNA from 1 species
ACGGAGGGUGCAAGCGUUAUUCGGAAUUACUGGGCGUAAAGGGCGUGCAGGCGGGAGAGCAAGUCUGCUGUGAAAGCUCUGGGCUUAACCCCGGGGGGGCCGUGGAAACUGCUAGUCUUGAAUUCGGGAGAGGAAGGUAGAAUGUCCGGUGUAGAGGUGAAAUUCGUAGAGAUCGCGAGGAACAUCAGUUGCGAAGGCACCUUUCUGGGCCGCUACUGACGCUGAGGCGCGAAAGCGUGGGGAUCAAACAG